rnacentral:rRNA from 1 species
CAUAGGUUAAUGAGGCGAACCGGGGGAACUGAAACAUCUAAGUACCCCGAGGAAAAGAAAUCAACCGAGAUUCCCCCAGUAGCGGCGAGCGAACGGGGAGCAGCCCAGAGCCUGAAUCAGUGUGUGUGUUAGUGGAAGCGUCUGGAAAGGCGCGCGAUACAGGGUGACAGCCCCGUACACAAAAAUGCACAUGCUGUGAGCUCGAUGAGUAGGGCGGGACACGUGGUAUCCUGUCUGAAUAUGGGGGGACCAUCCUCCAAGGCUAAAUACUCCUGACUGACCGAUAGUGAACCAGUACCGUGAGGGAAAGGCGAAAAGAACCCCGGCGAGGGGAGUGAAAAAGAACCUGAAACCGUGUACGUACA